UGUUCCACCAUCAUUAAACUGUACCCUUUUGCCCCCUCAGAUUCGAUCCCCUCUUUUACCCAGACUUUUACAUGCUGAUCCAAUUGGCUGAGCCGUCCAGUUCACCGGACCAUUCCUGAUAUAGCUAAUGUGCAGCGGUGCAUAUGCAUGCCAGCAUGGCGCCUGCAAGCAGUCUUGAUCUUGAGCUGCUUGAGCAGGCGCACAGAGGAUGUGAGUAACAGCGGAGCAGAGAGGGUGAUGGGGAGCAUUGGGGGGAGACCACAGCAAAGAUCAUCUAUAUUUUAUAGACCUCUCAAUUAGUGUCAACGUUCACGGGUAGGAUGUUGGGAAAGGCAUUCCCUGUCUGCUCAUUCCGGAUUAUACCGCUGAUCCUUUGCAUUACCCCACACAUGUACUGAAUUGGACGUUGGACAUUUAAGCCACCUGUGGGGGUUUUGAAUCCUAAUGAGGAAGAGAGCAUUGAGAAUUCCUGAGAGCAGACCGGACUGCUCCUGUCGGCACAGAAGUACCAUCACCACCACCAUGUUGCUCGGUGCUAUACACUGUUUCCUGUCUGCCUGCAAGCUGCUGCUGCAGCUCGGAGGACACCACGAGGCAAGAUCCUACAUCCAGAGCAGGUGUGUGGGCGUGGCCGGCCCAGCA